GGAUGAAAGUGAUGAUGAUUUAUGAUUGCGUGAUUACAAGUUGAUCGAAUCAACGAAUUACUUUCGCUACGUUCUUUCUGAUUCAUCC
rnacentral:snoRNA from 1 species